rnacentral:rRNA from 1 species
AUUGAACGCUGGCGGCAGGCCUAACACACGCCAGUCGAGCGGAUGAAGGGAGCUUGCUCCUGGAUUCAGCGGCGGACGGGUGAGUAAUGCCUAGGAAUCUGCCUGGUAGUGGGGGAUAACGUCCGGAAACGGGCGCUAAUACCGCAUACGUCCUGAGGGAGAAAGUGGGGGAUCUUCGGACCUCACGCUAUCAGAUGAGCCUAGGUCGGAUUAGCUAGUUGGUGGGGUAAAGGCCUACCAAGGCGACGAUCCGUAACUGGUCUGAGAGGAUGAUCAGUCACACUGGAACUGAGACACGGUCCAGACUCCUACGGGAGGCAGCAGUGGGGAAUAUUGGACAAUGGGCGAAAGCCUGAUCCAGCCAUGCCGCGUGUGUGAAGAAGGUCUUCGGAUUGUAAAGCACUUUAAGUUGGGAGGAAGGGCAGUAAGUUAAUACCUUGCUGUUUCGACGUUACCAACAGAAUAAGCACCGGCUAACUUCGUG